rnacentral:rRNA from 1 species
GAUUAACGCUGGCGGCGUGCAUAACACAUGCAAGUCGAACGAUGAAACUUUAAUGAACCCUUCGGGGAGAAUUAAAGCGGAUUAGUGGCGAACGGGUGAGUAACGCGUGAGUAACCUGCCUUACACAAGGGGAUAGCCUUUGGAAACGAAGAAUAAUACCCUAUAAAACCAUAAAAGCACAUGCAAUUAUGGUCAAAGUGAUAGCGGUGUAAGAUGGACUUGCGUCUGAUUAGCUAGUUGGUGAGAUAAAAGCCCACCAAGGCAACGAUCAGUAGCCGGCUUGAGAGAGUGUACGGCCACAUUGGGACUGAGACACGGCCCAGACUCCUACGGGAGGCAGCAGUGGGGAAUUUUGCACAAUGGGGGAAACCCUGAUGCAGCGACGCCGCGUGAUUUAGAAGGCCUUCGGGUUGUAAAAAUCUUUUGUAUAAGAAGAAAAUGACAGUACUAUACGAAUAAGGUCCGGCUAAUUACGUG